UACGUAGGUGGCAAGCGUUGUCCGGAUUUACUGGGCGUAAAGAGCGCGCAGGCGGUCGUUCAAGUCGCGUGUGAAAGCCCCCGGCUCAACUGGGGAGGGUCACGCGAUACUGAUCGACUCGAAGGCAGGAGAGGGAAGUGGAAUUCCCGGUGUAGUGGUGAAAUGCGUAGAUAUUGGGAAGAACACCGGUGGCGAAGGCGGCGACCUGGUCCGAUACUGACGCUGAGGCGCGAAAGCGUGGGGAGCAAACAGG
rnacentral:rRNA from 1 species